AUAGGGGACUUUAAUGAGAUUCUUUACCCUUCUGAAAAAGAAGGGGGAGCCCCUCGGCAUCAGUCAAGAAUGCAAGCGUUUCAGGAUGCUUUAUGAGACUGCUCCCUAGAAGAUAUUGGUUACGAAGGAGAUAAGUUUACUUGGUUUCGUGGAGGACUAAGAGAAAGACUAGACCGAGCGGUGUCUAACCAAUCAUGGGCGUAGAUGCAUCCUUGGGCAGGAUUGAUAAACCUGGAGAUGGGAAAAUCUGACCAUCGGCUUAUUUGUCUAGACUCUAGACACAAACCAUCUCCUUGA
rnacentral:rRNA from 1 species